rnacentral:rRNA from 1 species
GUCUACGCCCAUACCACCCUGAACGUACCUGAUCUCAUCUGAUCUCGGGAGCUAAGCAGGAUUGGGCCUGGCUAGUACUUGGAUGCGAGA